CAAAUUUAAUCACGAAAAUCCAAUACCAAACAAACACCCCAAGAAAGCAAAAUAGGAGUUCCAACUGAAGGACACAAGAGGAAUCCGUAGUCAGGGGGCGCCUAAUGCCUUCCCCAGCAGAGCCUCGAGCCAUUCAAACCAAGGCACCUGGAGCCUGGCAAAGGUCUGCACUCUGAAUAAUGUCUGCCCAGCUGUUUGAAACUGAAUUUGCACAAAGUCCCGAGUGACUUUUCAAGGAGUAUGUCUGUCGUGUCAUUCCGAGAAGAACUCUGCCAGCUCGCUGACCCAUCUCCAGCUAUAUUGCCCACCAUUGCCCUCGAGAUUCUAGAAGACCAUGGAAAAAUGUAUGAUGCUUUCAGCUGCAAACCUCCGAUCAGCUGUCAGGUGGAGCAGAGACCUCGUGAAGUUCUGACUCACACACACGCGUGUGCCCGAGUGGAAAAACCAUCCUGAGCUCACACAAAAAUUCUACAAGUCCUCACACACAGUCUUUCUACUCUUUUUGACCUUUAGCCUUUGUUAUGAUGAUUUACACUUUGAAUUUUAAACCCCACUUACUUAUAUAAUAUUUCUAUUAAUAUUUCAUUGGGCAGUAAACACACCAAGUAAGUAUAGAGUAUGAGUCCUAGUCAUACAGACAGGAAGUAAUAAUUUUUUUAAAUUAAGGUUUGGAAAUGAGUGUGGUGGAUGUAGUUUAUUGAUAUGCUACUUAACAUUGCCAACCAACGUUGCGGGUGAGUCACUGUCUUGCCUGGAUUCAUCUGACUUUAAAGAUGGAAAGACAUUGUCAGCCACAGACAGUGCGGUUGGAGCCUUUCAGAGUCCCGCCGAGUCUCUCUGCUUCCGAGAGAGGAGGCUGGGCUCCUGAAAUGAAAGCUCAGACAUGUGUGUACCUUUCUGGGCCUUUUAUUUCCUGGCACCUAAGUAAGAGUUAAACAGACUCCAGAUAUCUCACUGCUGCUGAACUGUCAUUGUUCCUGCUCACUUCAGUCCCAAGUGUCUUCCCCCAAGCCUGGGCUCAGGAGUUGGGGCAGGGAAGAGAACUAGAAAAACGGGGAGGAUUCAAACAAUACAAAAAGACAGAAACCAACACUGGGCGAAUUUUGAGCUCAGCUGUUCCAAUAUAGUCACUUCAAAGUUGUAACUUUAAAAUCACACAUACAUUUGCAUACACAUGCACACAGAGAGAGACACAGAGAGACAGAGAGACAGAGAGAGACGUUACUUUCUGCCUCGUCUGUUCCCUAGAGACAGUGGUGGUGGAACCUGUCUUUGGAAAGAAGACAUGAAAAACCUAGAGCUGAAAGCCAGACAGCCAAGUAGGAAAGUCUGGUCAUUGAGUCCAAUGCUUUUAGAACUCUCAAAUAGCAAACAUGGGAACUUUAUUUCUUAUAAGCCAAAGAAAAACCUAAAUAAUACUGUACUGUGAGAAGGACGCUACUGACCUGCUUUAAACACCCCUACUUGUUUCCAAACCUUGGCGGUAUCCUACUGAGCAGAUACCCCAUGAUGAGAAGCUUGAGCAGAAGGUACUUAAGCCCAAGGCUGCAUCACUGAAGUCUGAGAGGACAAGCAGUGAUUUCUUACCGUUAUUAACCAGGCCAAGCAAACACUUCCAAAAAUCUUAGAAGCAUGUGAGUACUUGGGGAAAGUAUCAUGCCCUGACUGUGUUGAUAGUUACUAUUUAAUUCACUCAAGGUAGUUCCUUGUUCAUGUUUUCCUUUCUGGAAGGUUCUGGAGAACUCAUCAAAGACCUUGGCAGCCAUGAUGGUUUUCUGGUGGGAUUGCUUUGAAUAGGAAAGAAUAAUGAUGACAAUCUCACGUGGCAUUCCAAACUCUGCUCCUAAAAAAUAGUCAUGUAUUUCAUGAAGAAACGGGAAACCUCUGGUAAGUCCUGGGUUAAAUACGUCUCUAUAAUGCUUCACUUUACAAUUGGCUCCUGGUGGUGGAGUUUAUAAGCCACAAAUGUUUGAAAACAGCUUUAAAAUAGCCAAUUUGGGGGCCAGUGAGAUGGCUCAGAGGGUAAAGUUGUUUACCAAGGUCAAUGACCUGACUUCAAU
rnacentral:sRNA from 1 species